rnacentral:rRNA from 1 species
UACAGAGGUCUCAAGCGUUGUUCGGAUUCAUUGGGCGUAAAGGGUGCGUAGGUGGCGCCGUAAGUCAGGUGUGAAAUUUCGGAGCUUAACUCCGAAACUGCAUUUGAUACUGCGGUGCUUGAGGACUGGAGAGGAGACUGGAAUUCACGGUGUAGCAGUGAAAUGCGUAGAUAUCGUGAGGAAGACCAGUGGCGAGGGCGGGUCUCUGGACAGUUCCUGACACUGAGGCACGAAGGCCAGGGGAGCAAACGGG